GAUGAUGAUCCCAAGCCUUCUGGCGAUCUCUUAAAAAAGCCUAGCCUGCUUUAAAAAGCAGGACCUUUAGAUAUGCUUUUAAAUUCUUAUGAAUCUUAAAAGUCAUGAAUUUAAAAAAGGCUUUAUGAAGAAAGCACUUUAAGCUUUUCCAAUGAUUUAAGAUGAUACCGGGGAAGGUUUUCCGGUUUAUCCCGGAGGGCUUGUAGCUCAGUUGGUUAGAGCGCGCGCUUGAUAAGCGUGAGGUCGGAGGUUCAAGUCCUCCCAGGCCCACCAUUUAUGCUCGUUUUUGCUUAUUCUUGAGAGUUAUGAAGUUUAAGCGUGUGAAAGCCUCUUUAAUCUUUAGUUUAUUGCAAAAGAUUUAAUUCUAUCCUUUAAAAAUUGUUUGUUAAAUUUAUCUCAUUACAUUUGUCAAACAGUAUCUUUGUCAAACAGGACUUCAAAUUCCCUUCAGAUUUCUUCAAGGGGAGAGACAAAUUUAAAAGGAUAAAAAUCAAAAAAAUGAUACCAAUCAAUACAAGUCAAAAUAGUGUUGAUCAAAAGAGGACAAAUCACUCAAGUUAAUAAAUUUUUUUGAGAUUGAUUUGAAAGAGCAUUCUUUAGGGGCCGUAGCUCAGCUGGGAGAGCACCUGCUUUGCAAGCAGGGGGUCGUCGGUUCGAUCCCGUCCGGCUCCACCAUUUAGAUCAUCAUCAUUGUUGUGAGGACAUUUUUUGUAAGAGGUUUUAAUGACUUCUUGCCUGUUCU
rnacentral:tRNA from 1 species